GCCGAGCUUAGUAACGUUAGCUUGUAAUCCUAGUGGAGGCCUUUAAAGGUAACGGGACGUUGGUUCAGUCAUAGUGAUGAGAGGAGAAUCGGGAGCAAAACACUCCCGUUCCAAGCCACGAGAGCUGAGCCUUCCUUGUGAAGGCUAGAGUAUGAUCUCUUCUAGACGGGGGAUGAAAGAGCGCUAGAUCAUGUUUCACACACAGUGCUAGCGUUUACCUUCGUUUCUAGCAGCCGAUGGACCUCAUGGGCUGAAUCCUUGUUUGGACCAUUACCUUU
rnacentral:SRP_RNA from 1 species